rnacentral:rRNA from 1 species
CCUACGGGUGGCAGCAGUCGGGAAUAUUGCGCAAUGGAGGAAACUCUGAUGCAGUGACGCCGCGUGAAGGAAGAAGGUUUUCGGAUUGUAAACUGCUUUAGACAGGGAAGAAAAAAGACAGUACAUGUAGAAUAAGCUCCGGCUAACUACGUGACAGCAGCCGCGGUAAUACGUAGGGAGCAAGCGUUAUCCGGAGUUAUUGGGGGUAAUGGGUGCGUAGACGGAGAAGCAAGUUAGUUGUGAAAUCCCUCGGCUUAACAGAGGAACGGCAACUAAAACUACUUACCUAGAGUACUGGAGAGGAAAGUGGAAUUCCUAGUGUAGCGGUGAAAUGCGUAGAUAUUAGGAGGAACACCAGUGGCGAAGGCGACGUUCUGGACAGUAACUGACGUUGAGGCACGACAGUGUGGGGAGCAAACAGGAUUAGAUACCCCUGUAGUC